CAAACGACAAACAACCACCAUCGGAUCUUCUUUUGACCUAACAACCCCGACAAAUCAAAUCUUCUCAGCGCCACCUCCUUCCCUACCGUACGCCGCCCCGGUUCCUCUCCUAACCUAACCUAACCUAACACCAAGAUAUGGCCGCUGCGCCCUUGCGCCACUGCCUCCACAACGUCCCACCAGCCUCACGGCCUUGCUCCAAUCUUGAUAUUCCAUGGAGGCAACGGGAAGGGAGAGGCAAUAAUCUAGGCUCCAGCAUUCUCUGCUAGGCGGCUCCCAGGGCAGCGGUUGCAGCGACCGGCAGAUGUUGCAUUCCCUCGGACGAUCCUCAAGUCGCCCAGGCUGAGAGAAUGAGUACGAUAUGGAGAUGGGGUGAGGGACGGACGGGCAAGAGAACAGAUCGAGAGGAGCCAGCCGCCAGAGGAGGCGGCUCAAGAAUAACAUAUUGGAUGACAAAUUUCUUUAGCAUCUCCAUCUGACUUCAAGAAAGUGCUUAUUGAAACCUGAAACAUAUAGAAGUAACCAACCGAGAUUAUGCCAACUUCUUUUAAGUGGAAGAUCUGUAUAGCUUCUAUUGAGGGUGCGUGUCAGAUAAAUCAUUGCACAAAGCAUCAAGGUACAGAUUAGACUACCUUCUGUACAAAUAUCAACCACUUUUCCAUUUUAUUUUUCAGGCUGACAUUAUGGCUGCAAGAUUUAUCUCCCUUGGAGUAUUGAACUUAAAAACAUGAUAAUGACAUGUUCUUGUAACGUCACGAUGAUGACAUGUUAGUGAUAGAGUACUGCUUAAAUGUCCCACGACAUCUUCAUGUCUCACUGAUUAAUAUUUACAAUUACAUAAUUUUAUAUUGAUAGGAUAACAAAGUAGAACUUCUCUCAAAUCGUAGUAUACAUCAAAAUAUUUGGUGAUGAAAAACAGAAUAUUCAGAGAUAAGGAAGAGAUACGUGUAGCUUUAUAUGUAAUUUCUCGCUUCACCUACUUUUCAAUCAAGCUGGUGCAACUACUACUCAUAGCUGUCCUGACAAUUG